UGGGCGUUAAGUUGCAGGGUAUAGACCCGAAACCCGGUGAUCUAGCCAUGGGCAGGUUGAAGGUUGGGUAACACUAACUGGAGGACCGAACCGACUAAUGUUGAAAAAUUAGCGGAUGACCUGUGGCUGGGGGUGAAAGGCCAAUCAAACCGGGAGAUAGCUGGUUCUCCCCGAAAGCUAUUUAGGUAGCGCCUCGUGAAUUCAUCUCCGGGGGUAGAGCACUGUUUCGGCUAGGGGGCCAUCCCGGCUUACCAACCCGAUGCAAACUGCGAAUACCGGAGAAUGUUAUCACGGGAGACACACGGCGGGUGCUAACGUCCGUCGUGAAGAGGGAAACAACCCAGACCGCCAGCUAAGGUCCCAAAGUCAUGGUUAAGUGGGAAACGAUGUGGGAAGGCCCAGACAGCCAGGAUGUUGGCUUAGAAGCAGCCAUCAUUUAAAGAAAGCGUAAUAGCUCACUGGUCGAGUCGGCCUGCGCGGAAGAUGUAACGGGGCUAAACCAUGCACCGAAGCUGCGGCAGCGACGCUGAUGCGUUGUUGGGUAGGGGAGCGUUCUGUAAGCCUGCGAAGGUGGCCUGUGAGGGUUGCUGGAGGUAUCAGAAGUGCGAAUGCUGACAUAAGUAACGAUAAAGCGGGUGAAAAGCCCGCUCGCCGGAAGACCAAGGGUUCCUGUCCAACGUUAAUCGGGGCAGGGUGAGUCGACCCCUAAGGCGAGGCCGAAAGGCGUAGUCGAUGGGAAACGGGUUAAUAUUCCCGUACUUGGUGUUACUGCGAAGGGGGGACGGAGAAGGCUAUGUUGGCCGGGCGACGGUUGUCCCGGUUUAAGCGUGUAGGUGUGUGUUCCAGGUAAAUCCGGUUCACUUUAACACUGAGGCGUGAUGACGAGGCACUACGGUGCUGAAGCAACAAAUGCCCUGCUUCCAGGAAAAGCCUCUAAGCAUCAGGUAACAUCAAAUCGUACCCCAAACCGACACAGGUGGUCAGGUAGAGAAUACCAAGGCGCUUGAGAGAACUCGGGUGAAGGAACUAGGCAAAAUGGUGCCGUAACUUCGGGAGAAGGCACGCUGACACGUAGGUGAAGUGAUUUACUCAUGGAGCUGAAGUCAGUCGAAGAUACCAGCUGGCUGCAACUGUUUAUUAAAAACACAGCACUGUGCAAACACGAAAGUGGACGUAUACGGUGUGACGCCUGCCCGGUGCCGGAAGGUUAAUUGAUGGGGUCAGCGCAAGCGAAGCUCCUGAUCGAAGCCCCGGUAAACGGCGGCCGUAACUAUAACGGUCCUAAGGUAGCGAAAUUCCUUGUCGGGUAAGUUCCGACCUGCACGAAUGGCGUAAUGAUGGCCAGGCUGUCUCCACCCGAGACUCAGUGAAAUUGAACUCGCUGUGAAGAUGCAGUGUACCCGCGGCAAGACGGAAAGACCCCGUGAACCUUUACUAUAGCUUGACACUGAACAUUGAGCCUUGAUGUGUAGGAUAGGUGGGAGGCUUUGAAGUGUGGACGCCAGUCUGCAUGGAGCCGGCCUUGAAAUACCACCCUUUAAUGUUUGAUGUUCUAACGUGGACCCGUGAUCCGGGUUGCGGACAGUGUCUGGUGGGUAGUUUGACUGGGGCGGUCUCCUCCUAAAGAGUAACGGAGGAGCACGAAGGUUGGCUAAUCCUGGUCGGACAUCAGGAGGUUAGUGCAAUGGCAUAAGCCAGCUUGACUGCGAGCGUGACGGCGCGAGCAGGUGCGAAAGCAGGUCAUAGUGAUCCGGUGGUUCUGAAUGGAAGGGCCAUCGCUCAACGGAUAAAAGGUACUCCGGGGAUAACAGGCUGAUACCGCCCAAGAGUUCAUAUCGACGGCGGUGUUUGGCACCUCGAUGUCGGCUCAUCACAUCCUGGGGCUGAAGUAGGUCCCAAGGGUAUGGCUGUUCGCCAUUUAAAGUGGUACGCGAGCUGGGUUUAGAACGUCGUGAGACAGUUCGGUCCCUAUCUGCCGUGGGCGCUGGAGAACUGAGGGGGGCUGCUCCUAGUACGAGAGGACCGGAGUGGACGCAUCACUGGUGUUCGGGUUGUCAUGCCAAUGGCACUGCCCGGUAGCUAAAUGCGGAAGAGAUAAGUGCUGAAAGCAUCUAAGCACGAAACUUGCCCCGAGAUGAGUUCUCCCUGAGACUUAGAGUCUCCUGAAGGAACGUUGAAGACGACGACGUUGAUAGGCCGGGUGUGUAAGCGCAGCGAUGCGUUGAGCUAACCGGUACUAAUGAACCGUGAGGCUUAACCUUACA
rnacentral:rRNA from 1 species